rnacentral:lncRNA from 1 species
ACCCGAUAAUUGGGCAGCUUUCUGUUUCCCCAACACCACAGCCUGAGAGGCUGGCACUUCCGCUACCUGUUGAGCCUCCGCGAGCUGCUCCAACAUCGCCUGUGCCACCUGCAAGCCUCCCGGGCAGACGGAGCCCCUGCCCGGCUCUCACGGGAGCCUGCGACUGAGCGCUGGCUGCUCCAGUUCCCACGCCAUGCGAGCGGCUUCUCAGGAACACCUGCAACCUCUGUGUCUUGGAGGACAGACUUCAAGGUCAUCCCGUGGCCCAGCUUCGCCUCCCAGGCCCUACCUUCCCCUUGCCCCACACGCCUCUGUCCGUGCCUUCCUGGAGUUUGUUCAUGCAGUACUGCUUACCUGGGACAGCCCGCUCCCCA